UGGGGAAUAUUGCACAAUGGAGGGAACUCUGAUGCAGCGACGCCGCGUGAACGAAGAAGGCUUUCGAGUCGUAAAGUUCUUUUAUAUGGGAAGAUAAUGACGGUACCAUAAGAAAAAGCCCCGGCUAACUACGUGCCAGCAGCCGCGGUAAUACGUAGGGGGCUAGCGUUGUCCGGAAUCACUGGGCGUAAAGGGUUCGCAGGCGGAAAUGCAAGUCAGGUGUAAAAGGCAGUAGCUUAACUACUGUAAGCAUUUGAAACUGCAUAUCUUGAGAAGAGUAGAGGUAAGUGGAAUUUUUAGUGUAGCGGUGAAAUGCGUUGAUAUUAAAAAGAAUACCGGUGGCGAAGGCGACUUACUGGGCUCAUUCUGACGCUGAGGAACGAAAGCGUGGGUAGCAAACAGG
rnacentral:rRNA from 1 species